AUGUCCAUAACUAGCGAGGCAAAGCGCAGUCAUGGCUAUGGGCGCCGCUCCGAUGUCUUUUCCGGCUAUCACCGGACUCCCACCGGCAUCGGAAAUGAAAUCUCAACUCUCCAUCUCAUUUAGGUGUCACUACCACAGCGAAGGUCCGAGCAAUGCCAUGAACAAUAAGAUUGGUCAUGUUGCCAAUUAAGUAGGCAGUGAGACCAAUGUUGAAAAGCAUGUAGAAGAUGGAGAAAACCUUCUCUCCUGUAUUAUGUGCACGGAGAUCGCCAUAGCCGACUGUGGUGAGAGUAGCAACAGACCAAUACAUGGAAUAUGUGUAUCCUAGAGAGAUACUUCUUUCUUGGAAAUUAGUAACAUUUGACCCAAUCCAGGUAUUCUCUGCAGUAUGAUAAUGAGUUGCUAGCCAGUAAUAUAAACAUCCAACAGAAUGCACUGCGAAUAAGGUCACCUAUGACAGAAUUAUAGCCAUAAGAUGGACGGUUACUUGAAGAAAAGAACCUGUAUAUCUGCAGGAUCAGGUAAAGUUGGAAAACGAAAGUGCUUACACAGAUUAGUUUACAGAAUCUUGUCCAGAAGUAGCUGAACCGAAUGUCCUUCUCUAGCCUGUAAGAAAGGAAGAGAUUAACAAUGAGAUUGAAUUUGAUGGGAUUUUUAUUGGAACUUAAGAUUAGAAUUAAAUUA